rnacentral:rRNA from 1 species
AGUGAACGCUGGCGGUAGGCCUAACACAUGCAAGUCGAACGGCAGCACAGUAAGAGCUUGCUCUUACGGGUGGCGAGUGGCGGACGGGUGAGGAAUACAUCGGAAUCUACUUUUUCGUGGGGGAUAACGUAGGGAAACUUACGCUAAUACCGCAUACGACCUACGGGUGAAAGCAGGGGAUCUUCGGACCUUUCGCGAUUGAAUGAGCCGAUGUCGGAUUAGCUAGUUGGCGGGGUAAAGGCCCACCAAGGCGACGAUCCGUAGCUGGUCUGAGAGGAUGAUCAGCCACACUGGAACUGAGACACGGUCCAGACUCCUACGGGAGGCAGCAGUGGGGAAUAUUGGACAAUGGGCGCAAGCCUGACCCAGCCAUGCCGCGUGGGUGAAGAAGGCCUUCGGGUUGUAAAGCCCUUUUGUUGGGAAAGAAAAGCAGCAUGUUAAUACCCCGCUGUUCUGACGGUACCCAAAGAAUAAGCACCGGCUAACUUCGUG